rnacentral:rRNA from 1 species
AUUGAACGCUGGCGGCAUACCUUACACAUGCAAGUCGAACGGUAACGGGCCUUCGGGUGCCGACGAGUGGCGAACGGGUGAGUAAUGUAUCGGAACGUACCUUUCAGUGGGGGAUAACGUAGCGAAAGGUGCGCCAAUACCGCAUAUUCUCGGAGCGUGAAAGCGGGGGAGCGCAAGACCUUGCGCUGUGUGAGCGUCCGAGUUCCGAUUAGCUAGUUGGGGAGGUAAAAGCUAACCAAGGCGACGAUCUGUAGCGGGUCUGAGAGGAGGAGCCGCCACACUGGAACGGAGACACGGUCCAGACUCCUACGGGAGGAAGCAGUGGGGAAUUUUGGACAAUGGGGGCAACCCUGAUCCAGCCAUGCCGCGUGAGUGAAGAAGGCCUUCGGGUUGUAAAGCUCUUUCGGCCGGGAAGAAAUCGUAUCAGCUAAUACCUGGUGCGGAUGACGGUACCGGCAUAAGAAGCACCGGCUAACUACGUGCCAGCAGCCGCCGUAAAAC